rnacentral:rRNA from 1 species
GCGGUGAAAUGCGUAGAUAUGUGGAAGAACACCAGUGGCGAAAGCGGCUUGCUAGAUCGUAACUGACGUUGAGGCUCGAAAGUAUGGGUAGCAAACGGGAUUAGAUACCCCGGUAGUCCAUACCGUAAACGAUGGGUGCUAGUUGUUAAGAGGUUUCCGCCUCCUAGUGACGUAGCAAACGCAUUAAGCACCCCGCCUGAGGAGUACGGCCGCAAGGCUAAAACUUAAAGGAAUUGACGGGGACCCGCACAAGCGGUGGAGCAUGUGGUUUAAUUCGAAGAUACGCGAAAAACCUUACCAGGUCUUGACAUACCAAUGAUCGCUUUUGUAAUGAAAGCUUUUCUUCGGAACAUUGGAUACAGGUGGUGCAUGGUCGUCGUCAGCUCGUGUCGUGAGA